GGGUCUGUAGCUUAAUUGGAAAAGCGCCUAGUUCGCAACUAGGAAAAUGUCGGUUCGAUUCUGACCAGUAUCCACCA
rnacentral:tRNA from 7 species